UAUCUCUGUAGAGUCCGCAUAUCAAUAAGCGGAGGAAAAGAAACUAACAUAGGAUUCCCUCAGUAACGGCGAGUGAAGCGGGAAGAGCUCAAAUUUGAAAUCUUCAAGGUUCUACCUUGACGAAUUGUAGUUUAAAGAAGUGUUUUCUGUUAGAUGAGUAGCAAAAGUUCCUUGGAAUGGGACAUCAUAGAGGGUGAGAAUCCCGUAUUUGGUUAUUCAUUCUAGCUUUGUGAUACACUUUCAAAGAGUCGGGAUUGUUUGGGAAUGCAGGUCCAAAAUGGGUGGUAAAUUUCAUCUAAAGCUAAAUAUUGGCGAGAGACCGAUAGCGAACAAGUACCGUGAGGGAAAGAUGAAAAGAACUUUGAAAAGAGAGUUAAACAGUACGUGAAAUUGUCAAAAGGGAAGCGUUUGACACCAGUGUUGUUUUCUCGAAAAUCAAUUAAAAAAUGGCAUGAUUUUGUGUUGUAUUGACCUUUAUCAAGCUUUCUUCACUCUUUUUCUUGUCUUUUUUAAUGCACUUUUCGUUUAACAAGUCAACAUCAAUUUCUUUUGUUGUAAAAGGGUCAUUGGAAGGUGGCUUUCUUUUCGGAGAAAGUGUUUAUAGCCUUUGGCCUCUGCAAUCGGAGAGAUUGAGGUCUGCAGCGUAGAUCCUUCGGGGUUAGAUAAAUUUGUGCUAAGUUGUAGCUUUUCAUAGACAACUUGUUGACUAUGUUUAGUCAUGCGGCUUACUCGCUUAUGCUAUUUUACCUACGCUUAGGAUGUUGAAGAUGUAGCACAUCAU
rnacentral:rRNA from 1 species